rnacentral:rRNA from 1 species
GGUGCUUGCAUUAAUUUUUAACAUCGGGACGAGUGGCGAACUGGUGAGUAACACGUGGAUAACCUGCCCUGAAGUAUGGGAUAACAUUUGGAAACAAGUGCUAAUACCGUAUAAUUAGUAAAAGUCGCAUGACUUCUACUUGAAAGAUGGUUCUGCUAUCGCUUUAGGAUGGAUCCGCGGCGUAUUAGCUAGUUGGUGAGAUAAAAGCCCACCAAGGCGAUGAUACGUAGCCGACCUGAGAGGGUAAUCGGCCACAUUGGGACUGAGACACGGCCCAGACUCCUACGGGAGGCAGCAGUAGGGAAUCUUCCACAAUGGACGAAAGUCUGAUGGAGCAACGCCGCGUGAGUGAAGAAGGGUUUCGGCUCGUAAAACUCUGUUGUUAAAGAAGAACAAGUGUAAGAGUAACUGUUUAUGCUUUGACGGUAUUUAACCAGAAAGCCACGGCUAACUACGUGCCAGCAGCCGCGGUAAUACGUAGGUGGCAAGCGUUGUCCGGAUUUAUUGGGCGUAAAGCGAGCGCAGGCGGUUUUUUAAGUCUGAUGUGAAAGCCUUCGGCUCAACCGAAGAAGUGCAUCGGAAACUAAAUAACUUGAAUACAGAAGAGGACAGUGGAACUCCAUGUGUAGCGGUGAAAUGCGUAGAUAUAUGGAAGAACACCAGUGGCGAAGGCGGCUGUCUGGUCUGUUAUUGACGCUGAGGCUCGAAAGCAUGGGUAGCGAACAGGAUUAGAUACCCUGGUAGUCCAUGCCGUAAACGAUGAAUGCUAGGUGUUGGAGGGUUUCCGCCCUUCAGUGCCGCAGCUAACGCAUUAAGCAUUCCGCCUGGGGGAGUACGACCGCAAGGUUGAAACUCAAAGGAAUU